UACGAAGGGGGCUAGCGUUGCUCGGAAUCACUGGGCGUAAAGCGCACGUAGGCGGCUUUUUAAGUCAGAGGUGAAAUCCUGGAGCUCAACUCCAGAACUGCCUUUGAUACUGAGAGGCUUGAGUCCGGGAGAGGUGAGUGGAACUGCGAGUGUAGAGGUGAAAUUCGUAGAUAUUCGCAAGAACACCAGUGGCGAAGGCGGCUCACUGGCCCGGUACUGACGCUGAGGAGCGAAAGUGUGGGGAGCGAACAGG
rnacentral:rRNA from 1 species